rnacentral:rRNA from 1 species
GGCAGACGGGUGAGUAAUGCAUAGGAAUCUGCCUAGUAGUAUGGGAUAGCCACUAGAAAUGGUGGGUAAUACUGUAUAAUCCCUGCGGGGGAAAGAUUUAUCGCUACUGGAUGAGCCUAUGUUAGAUUAGCUAGUUGGUGGGGUAAUGGCCUACCAAGGCUGUGAUCUAUAGCUGGUCUGAGAGGAUGAUCAGCCACACUGGAACUGAGACACGGUCCAGACUCCUACGGGAGGCAGCAGUGGGGAAUAUUGGACAAUGGGCGCAAGCCUGAUCCAGCUAUGCCGCGUGAGUGAGGAAGGCCUUAGGGUUGUAAAACUCUUUCAGCAGGGAA